CAAAUUUUCACAAAGCGGUCCCCAAAGAUAAAUUUCGUGUUGUUCGCCUGACUCUGAUUCAUCUUCUCCUCCACUCCUAUUGCGUUCCUCAUCUUCCAUCUUUUCCUCCGCUCAUAUCCGCUCCAUGCUCAAAGAUGACUGAUUAGGUUGGUCGGCUUUUCAUAUUUCUGGUUCAAGGUUUAGCUGGAGACGUGAAGAAGGAUUGGCCUUUUGUAUUUCUGGGUUUGCUUGCAACUACUGAAUAGGAGCCAACAAGUCUCAAUAUCCAAUUUAGAAAAGAGCCUUCAAAUUCCAGAAACCUCCGUCGCACACCUUGAAGCCCCAAGAAUCGGCCGGAUUUAUACCGAAUCGGCCCCUAGAAGAAGCAAAAGCUCCCCUGCACGGUUCACACCUUUCCAGUCCACCUCUUACUGUCAUCUUUCACCACCAUCAGCUAUUCAACCCCAGGAUCCGGGAACCAAAAAAACUUUUCCCAGAACCGGCCACCUGAGCAUUUGCACACUUGAACCGGCAGAAGAAGAAAAAAAAGGGGGAGGAAGACAAAGAAGCCCAGAAGCCUAUUGACGCAGCCCAAAAGUAGACCCACUGCCACGUCAGCAGAUUCUGCCACGCCAGCAGCUCGGUGCCACAUCAGCUCCGGCGACUUUUUUAGCCAAAUUUUUCGGCGACCUAUUUCAAGGAUGAGUAACCUGAACAAGUUGAGUUUCGCUUCACUAGAGGCAACAUGCGCAGGAUACCACAAGUGGGUCUGUGAUGUGCGCCAACAUCUUAAGGCUGAUGGGAUCCUAGAUAUGAUCUGAGAGCCAAGUUAGAACAUGCUUACUCCUCAACAAGCUGCCGCUUUUGAAGCGAAUAGAGCUACGAGAGAGGCCAAUGAAGCUAAAACCAUAAUUCUCAUGACAAGGCACAUGAAUGAUGUGCUCC